CCUGGGGAUCUGCCCAGUCGAGGGGGAUCCCUUCUGGAAACGGUAGCUAAUACCGCAUACGCCCUACGGGGGAAAGCAGGGGACCUUCGGGCCUUGCGCGAUUGGAUGAACCCAGGUGGGAUUAGCUAGUUGGUGAGGUAAUGGCUCACCAAGGCGACUAUCCCUAUCUGGUCUGAGAGGAUGAUCACCCACUCUGGAACUGAGACACGGUCCAGACUCCUACGGGAGGCAGCAGUGGGGAAUAUUGCACAAUGGGGGAAACCCUGAUGCAGCCAUGCCGCGUGUGUGAAGAACGCCUUCGGGUUGUAAAGCACUUUCAGCGAGGAGGAUAGGUUGGUAGCUAAUAACUGCCAGCUGUGACGUUACUCGCAGAAGAAGCACCGGCUAACUCCGUGCCAGCAGCCGCGGUAAUACGGAGGGUGCAAGCGUUAAUCGGAAUUACUGGGCGUAAAGCGCACGCAGGCGGUUGGAUAAGUUAGAUGUGAAAGCCCCGGGCUCAACCUGGGAAUUGCAUUUAAAACUGUCCAGCUAGAGUCUUGUAGAGGGGGGUAGAAUUCCAGGUGUAGCGGUGAAAUGCGUAGAGAUCUGGAGGAAUACCGGUGGCGAAGGCGGCCCCCUGGACAAAGACUGACGCUCAUGUGCGAAAGCGUGGGGAGCAAACGGGAUUAGAUACCCUGGUAGUCCACGCCGUACACGAUGUCGAUUUGGAGGCUGUGUCCUUGAGACGUGGCUUCCGGAGCUAACGCGUU
rnacentral:rRNA from 1 species